AAUUAGAUUAGUGGAUAAUAUUUAAUCAUAAAAGAUAUUUAAAUGAGAUUUAAAUAUUAGUAAGUAAUCUUAUUAGAUAAGAUUAAAAUUAGAUAAGAUCUAAUUAAAUAUUGGAGAGAUUAAUAUUUAUCUCUAAUUAGAUUAGAGGCUAAUUAAAUAUUCAUAAUAUCUUAUAAGAUAAGAUUUUUACUAGAUUUGAUUUAGUUGGAUAAGCAUGAAUAUUUAAUUGUUAAAUUGGAGAGAUAGAAAAUCUUAUUAGAUAAGAUUUUAUGAAAUAAGAUUCUAUAUAUACAGAUUAUAUGUACGUAUAUA
rnacentral:lncRNA from 1 species